AUUUAUGGAGAACAAGCAGCCUGAGGAUGAUCUUUUUGAUCGACUUAAUACUGGUAUUCUAAAUAAGCAUCUUCAAGAUCUCAUGGAGGGCUUGACUGCCAAGGUGUUCCGUACCUACAAUGCCUCCAUCACGCUGCAGCAGCAGCUUAAAGAGCUCACAGCCCCUGAUGAGAAUGUACCAGCAAAGAUUCUAUCUUAUAACCGUGCCAAUCGCGCUGUUGCAAUUCUUUGUAACCACCAGAGGGCGCCACCAAAGACCUUUGAGAAGUCAAUGAUGAACUUGCAGUCUAAGAUUGAUGCCAAGAAAGAUCAGCUAGCAGAUGCUCGAAAGGACCUGAAAAGCGCUAAGGCUGAUGCC
rnacentral:lncRNA from 1 species